UAUGAUUGUUACACCAGCGACGUUGUGUAUGUGUUUACAUCUUAACAUUAACAGAACUUUAAUAAAAAUCAGAUAACAGUAUUUUGGAGACGAACCUGUAGAAUUAAAGAAAAACCCGAUGUGUACUGUACGGUGACAAGAAUUAAGUAUGAAGAGCAAUUCUGGGACAAAAUUCAAAAAGGUGAUUACAAUGAAAACCACCUAGAUAUAACUGCUGAUUUAGCAUUAUAACUCCUUGGCACAGUUUUAUACUUUAUAUCUGACUUUUUAUUUCGAAAGGCCUUCUGUGCCGUUUAUUUUGUAUACUAUAGAGAACUCCAAUAUACGUGUUUGUAUUGUAUUUACUAAAACAUGUAUAUGGCAGGAAUUGUGUUUUCAAAAUCUAGACUUGCACAAAGCAAAUGUAUGUUAUGAUCAAUCUAUCCCGCAAAGGUUUACACCAGAAUUAAACAUUUGGAAAAACGACGAAUUACACAUUUUGUGGGG